CGGGACGGGGUGGAGGGAAUACAUCGGAAUCUACUCUGUCGUGGGGGAUAACGUAGGGAAACUUACGCUAAUACCGCAUACGACCUACGGGUGAAAGCAGGGGAUCUUCGGACCUUGCGCGAUUGAAUGAGCCGAUGUCGGAUUAGCUAGUUGGCGGGAUAAAGGCCCACCAAGGCGACGAUCCGUAGCUGGUCUGAGAGGAUGAUCAGCCACACUGGAACUGAGACACGGUCCAG
rnacentral:rRNA from 1 species